UACGUAGGGGGCAAGCGUUGUCCGGAAUCAUUGGGCGUAAAGAGCGUGUAGGCGGCCCGGUAAGUCCGCUGUGAAAGUCGGGGGCUCAACCCUCGAAUGCCGGUGGAUACUGUCGGGCUAGAGUGCGGAAGAGGCGAGUGGAAUUCCUGGUGUAGCGGUGAAAUGCGCAGAUAUCAGGAGGAGCACCGAUGGCGAAGGCAGCUCGCUGGGACGGUACUGACGCUGAGACGCGAAAGCGUGGGGAGCAAACAGG
rnacentral:rRNA from 1 species